CAUUAGGGUUUUAAAACCCUAAACUGAACUUUUUCCUUUAGUCAGCAUUAGGGUUUUAAACCCUAAAUUGAACUUUUUCCAUGUAGUCAGGUUUAGGGUUUAACCAUGUAGUCAGCAUUAGGGUUUUAAACCCUAAACUGAACUUUUCCUUUAGUCAACAUUAGGGUUUUAAACCCUAAACUGAACUCUUUUCCAUUCAGUCAGCAAUAGGGUUUUAAACCCUAAACUGAACUUUCCCUUUAGUCAGCAUUAGGGUUUUAAACCCUAAACUGAACUUUUCCUUUAGUCAGCAUUAG
rnacentral:lncRNA from 1 species